UCAACUUAAGGAAAACGAGCAUUUUCGACACCUCCUUCUUUUUGCUUUCAAUCAAGGUUCUAAGGCCGCAAAAGCUGCUCGCAACAUUUGUGCUGUGUAUGGAGAAAGUGCCAUAGCUGAAAGAACCGCUCGUGAUUGGUAUGCCUAGUUCAAAAACGCACCUCGUUCUGGCCGUCCAGUUGAGAUCGAUGAAGAGUGAUUAAACCAACUUUUGCGCGAAAAUUUUCGUCAAACGACAAGGGAACUGGCAGAGAAAAUGGAAUGCUCCCACACUGCUAUAGAGAAGUAUCUUCACUCGAUGGGAAAGGUUCAGAAGUAUGGAGCAUAGGUUCCACAUGCUUUAAGUGACAACAACAAAAAUCAACGAGUCACAAUCUCCGCUGGUUUGCUUGCUCGUCAUCGCUCAACUCAUGGACUGAAUCGUUACUGGCGACGAGAAAUGGUGCCUGUACAUCAGUAUGAAGCAGCGUAAGGAAAGGCUUAAGCCCGGUAAACAAGAGACACCGCGCGUGAAACAAGAUCUUCAUCCGCGUAAAACGAUGUUGUGCAUAGGGUGGAACUGGGAAGGGAUUAUCCAUUACGAAUUGCCUGAACGGAACCAAAAGUUCAACGCGGAACUCUAUGUGCAACAGAUGGAACAACUCAACACAGCUAUUCAAGAGAAAAGACCUAAUCGGCAGCAUGGAGUUCCUCUGCUGCACGAUAACGCCCGCCCUCAUAUCGCCAAUAUGACCAAGUGCUGGGAAGUGCUGCCACACCCGCCGUACUCUCCUGAUGUGGCACCAACAGAUUUACACCUUUUUCGAUCUCUUUCAAAUGCUACGUGCGGAGUUUCGUUCAAUACUGAUGCAGGAUUGAGAGCUUGGUUGGAUCAAUUAUUCGAGUCGAAAUCGGGUGAUUUCUGCCAACGAGGUAUUGAAAAUCUUCUUGAACGUUCGGAAGAAGUUGUAAACAACAAAGGUGGAAAAACGAAUGAAUAAUAGAAAAAAGAGCCAAGAAGACGUUUUCAAAAACUAGUCUGGCAUCGUCUCACCGUGUGACCCAAAACUAGUUUUAACUAUCAUUUGAUAAAACCAACUGCGGUGAAAAAGCCAAAAGCAAUAAAAUUAAGAAAAAUACAUAAAAUAAAGUAAAAAGUGGGGCAUCCGAAGAAUUGGACCACCACGUUACCAAAUAAAAAAUAAGUAUACAAAAUAAAAAAAAAGGACAAAACAAAACGGGGAAAAAAGAAAACAAUGAGAGAGGUUCUCCGAUUCUUUUUCUGGUCUUUUAAUUAGAAUUUAAACAUACAGUAAGUAGGAUCAAGCUUCCAUUUU